rnacentral:rRNA from 1 species
CCUACGGGUGGCAGCAGUGAGGAAUAUUGGUCAAUGGACGAGAGUCUGAACCAGCCAAGUAGCGUGAAGGAUGACUGCCCUAUGGGUUGUAAACUUCUUUUAUAUGGGAAUAAAAUGUUCCACGUGUGGGAUUUUGUAUGUACCAUAUGAAUAAGGAUCGGCUAACUCCGUGCCAGCAGCCGCGGUAAUACGGAGGAUCCGAGCGUUAUCCGGAUUUAUUGGGUUUAAAGGGAGCGUAGGUGGAUUGUUAAGUCAGUUGUGAAAGUUUGGGGCUCAACCGUAAAAUUGCAGUUGAGACUGGCAGGCUUGAGUACAGUAGAGGUGGGCAGAAUUCGUGGUGUAGCGGUGAAAUGCUUAGAGAUCACGAAGAACUCCGAUGGCGAAGGCAGCUCACUGGACUACAACUGACACUGAGGUUCGAAAGUGUGGGUAUCAAACAGGAUUAGAUACCCUUGUAGUC